UACGGGGGGGGCAAGCGUUGUUCGGAAUUACUGGGCGUAAAGGGCUCGUAGGUGGCCAACUAAGUCAGACGUGAAAUCCCUCAGCUUAACUGGGGAACUGCGUCUGAUACUGGAUGGCUUGAGUUUGGGAGAGGGAUGCGGAAUUCCAGGUGUAGCGGUGAAAUGCGUAGAUAUCUGGAGGAACACCGGUGGCGAAGGCGGCAUCCUGGACCAACACUGACACUGAGGAGCGAAAGCCAGGGGAGCGAACAGG
rnacentral:rRNA from 1 species